rnacentral:misc_RNA from 1 species
GAUGAAGAACGUAGCGAAAUGCGAUAAGUAAUGUGAAUUGCAGAAUUCAGUGAAUCAUCGAAUCUUUGAACGCACAUUGCGCCCCCUGGUAUUCCGGGGGGCAUGCCUGUUCGAGCGUCAUUUCACCACUCAAGCCUCGCUUGGUAUUGGGCAACGCGGUCCGCCGCGUGCCUCAAAUCGACCGGCUGGGUCUUCUAUCCCCUAAGCGUUGUGGAAACUAUUUGCUAAAGGGUGUUCGGGAGGCUACGCCGUAAAACAACCCCAUUUCUAAGGUUGACCUCGGAUCAGGUAGGGAUACCCGCUGAACUUAAGCAUAUCAAUAAGCGGAGGA